rnacentral:rRNA from 1 species
GACGAACGCUGGCGGCGUGCUUAACACAUGCGAGUCGAACGGAAAGGCCCUGCUUUUGUGGGGUGCUCGAGUGGUGAACGGGUGAGUAACACGUGAGUAACCUGCCCUUGACUUUGGGAUAACUUCAGGAAACUGGGGCUAAUACCGGAUAGGAGCUCCUGCUGCAUGGUGGGGGUUGGAAAGUUUCGGCGGUUGGGGAUGGACUCGCGGCUUAUCAGCUUGUUGGUGGGGUAGUGGCUUACCAAGGCUUUGACGGGUAGCCGGCCUGAGAGGGUGACCGGCCACAUUGGGACUGAGAUACGGCCCAGACUCCUACGGGAGGCAGCAGUGGGGAAUAUUGCACAAUGGGCGGAAGCCUGAUGCAGCAACGCCGCGUGCGGGAUGACGGCCUUCGGGUUGUAAACCGCUUUCGCCUGUGACGAAGCGUGAGUGACGGUAAUGGGUAAAGAGGCACCGGCUAACUACGUG